UACAGAGGUCUCAAGCGUUGUUCGGAUUCAUUGGGCGUAAAGGGUGUGUAGGUGGCGCCGUAAGUCGGGGUGUGAAAUCUCGGAGCUUAACUCCGAAACUGCAUUCGAUACUGCCGUGCUUGAGGACUGGAGAGGAGACUGGAAUUCAUGGUGUAGCAGUGAAAUGCGUAGAGAUCAUGAGGAAGACCAGUGGCGAAGGCGGGUCUCUGGACAGUUCCUGACACUGAGACACGAAGGCCAGGGGAGCAAACGGG
rnacentral:rRNA from 1 species